GGCCUCCUAGUGCUUACAAUAGGCUGUGUUCUUAUACUGACUGUAUAGAAAGAAAACAGAAAAUAAACCUACCCCAUAUGUACUUCAACCAGGCCCUGGGCCUGGUCUGUAUUAUGAAUAGAGAGACAUGA
rnacentral:snoRNA from 1 species